CGCGUCUAGCAGGCUUGUGCGUGUUGCAUUUCGAUCCUCCGGUGGCUUCUCCUUGGGAGGUGUCGGCGGAGCUUUCGGUGUAGCUCGUCUUGCGAUGGGACGACGCGUGAGUGGUGAUUAGGGUAUGUUUCCCGUGCAGGCUCCGUGUCUCCGGCAUCGAACUGCGUGGGUCUAUCUAUUUCACAGGUGGUUUCGCCUCGGCGUUUUAAUGGCCGGUUGCGACCGCUCGUUUGGUUCCUGUGCUCGAUAUCGAAUUCGGUAGUUGGAUGGAUUGUUCUUCCCCGUCAUGGUUUACUGAUCCCCCCACGCCUCGUGCGGCGGCGGCGGAUAUUGUGCGGGCAUCGACGUUUCCCUUUCUAGCCGUUGUACCCCGUUUGGAGCUUCGGCUUGUGAUGGCACGUAAGAUGCUACCGACACUAUCGGGUACGGAGAUUUUUUGGCUACCGCAUCGGCCUUCGAC
rnacentral:misc_RNA from 1 species